GCCGAUGUAGCUCAGUUGGCCAGAGCACGUGAUUUGUAAUCUCGGGGUCGUGGGUUCGAAUCCCUCCAUCGGCUCGA
rnacentral:tRNA from 1 species